CAGCAGCCGCGGUAAUACGUAGGGGGCGAGCGUUAUCCGGAUUUACUGGGCGUAAAGCGCGUUAAGGCGGAUGGCCAAGUUGGCGGUGAAAUUUCGGGGCUCAACCCCGAAACUGCCGCCAAAACUGGUCGUCUAGAGUAUGGGAGAGGAAGGUGGAAUUCCGGGUGUAGUAGUGAAAUGCGUAGAUAUCCGGAGGAACACCAGCGGCGAAGGCGGCCUUCUGGCCCAUAACUGACGCUGUAGCGCGAAAGCGUGGGGAGCGAACGGGAUUAGAUACCCCGGUAGUCCACGCCCUAAACUUUGUGCACUAGGUGUUGGGUGUAUUGACGCGCUCAGCGCCGUAGCUAACGCAUUAAGUGCACCGCCUGGGGACUACGACCGCAAGGUUAAAACUCAAAGGAAUUGACGGGGGCCCGCACAAGCAGCGGAGCAUGUGGUUUAAUUCGAUGCAACGCGAAGAACCUUACCUAGGCUUGACAUGCC
rnacentral:rRNA from 1 species